UCUACAUUUAGUACUCCAUGCAUGUACCGCAAAUUUGAUGUGAUGAAGAAUCUUCUUUCUGCAUAGUGCUAAAGUUAGGAAAAAGAGGGGAACUAAACAAGGCCUGUGUAACUCGCAGGUAGUACCCAGAAAUCUCUGCUUUUGGGGGUCUGCAAAUAUCUGCUGCUGAACCAUGAAAAUGAGCAAAUUAGAGACCAACUGUUGUCAGACGAAAUAGCAGAAGGUAGAAUUACGAGAAGCCACUGCGAAUGCUCAGAUUUAAAAUGUACAUCAACUAUAUUAGUUUUCAAAUAGAAUCAUGACACCAAAAAGGGAACAUGAAAUGUAUGCCCUUAUGGGCAAACAAUGAUUCCAAAAUGCUGAUAAUGGGGCAACAGUGUUCAAAGAGCAGAUCAUAUAAGCUACUAAUAAAAAACAAGCAACAGAAUUAGAUAAGGCCAAGCAAAGUACAGAAUCUAAAGAGAAAGAAGAGCUCACUGAAAAUGACUAGGCAGAACGGAACUGAUGCACUCAUGAUUUGAACAUAGAAACCGACCAAUCCACAGGAAUUUAACCCUCAACAUCUUACAUUUAUCAUAGCAACGGUUAAACGCAAAAGAGGUAAUUCACCAACUAACAAGUUGAAUCUAAACUACAGUCAGCUCCCAUUGAGAUGUAAUCAGCAUUUCCUAUGUCGUAAUGAUACUAGCACGUGAGACCGAUCCCGGUGAUGUUUGAGCACAAUUGCAAUAACCUUGCCACUAACUCAUUAUGAGGGUGACCUCUCUCUCAAAGGUCUCCAACAAGAAGAAAGAAUCAAGAUACAUCAUACCUAUUUGAAAGACACAGCGAGAAAGGAGGAAAUCCACACAUGCAUGCACAUGCUUGCAAGGACCGCCACUUCAUCGCUCCCCACCAUCACAUGGUCACCUGUGAUAAUGCACGGUACAUUCAAACAGAAGAUCCGGGCUCAAGGAUACGGCUAAGUUUUGGUCCUGCGUAGCUUCAAUUAUUCAGAAAAGCGUCCAGUUUGGGAUACCACAAGCACUGAAAAAGUGUAGUACCAUCUGUGCAAAAUUUAUUAAGACAAGAGUGUGUACAAAACAGCCUAUGCAAAGGCCUGUCUGUGGCCUGAUUAUAGACUACUUGUUUAUAGAAGGGUUCCCAAAAAAACAGUGCUGAGCAAGUCCAUGCAAAAUGCAGCUGAGCUUUCUUGACACGAAAUUAUCAAAAAAUAAUCACAAUGAAUAUGACAAUACAUAGAGCAGACUCAAACAAGUUUGUAAACAUAGAGAUUAAAGAAGGUGGGAUACAAAAGAAUCAACUGAAAAUAGUUCACAAACUAGAAAAAAAAAGAGAAGGGAAUGUUGACAUCCCAGGUAGAGGAUGGACCAAUAACGACCUAUAUAGAAUCCGACCCAUUUCAAUAUAUGGAGAACUAACCAGACAGAGACUUGUAUGGUUAGCCUAUCACGAGGUCCAUGAAUGAAAAGUAAUAAGAAAAUAGCUAACAAAUGUCUAAUGCCCAUCUCUUUCAAAGAAACACAUGCAGUUUCCUAAUGAUGGACAAGUGGCAAAUUCAGAUAAAUAAUGAGAUUAUAUUUAUAUAAUUUUAGCAGCUAAUAUUACCUAAUUCUUGACAAGUUCAGAACAAAUUUUAUUUUCUGGAGUUAAGAAGGUUUUUGCAUAUAUAAUCUGGCUUAAGACUUCAGAUAAAAGAUUUGAAUAGAAUAUAAUCCAGAGUUCUAGACGAACAUACGCCUUAUUUUUUGUC
rnacentral:lncRNA from 1 species